ACGUAGGAGACAAACGUUAUCCGGAGUUACUGGGCGUAAAGGGCGUGUAGGCGGUUUGUUAAGUCUGGCGUGAAAGCUCUCGGCUAAACCGGGAGAGGUCGUUGGAUACUGGCAAACUAGAGGACGGUAGAGGCGUGUGGAAUUCCGGGUGUAGUGGUGAAAUGCGUAGAGAUCCGGAGGAACACCAGUGGCGAAGGCGGCUACCUGGACCAGCACUGACACUGAGGCACGAAAGCGUGGGGAGCAAACAGGA
rnacentral:rRNA from 1 species